GCUGCUGUUCUUGAUGUAAUGGGACAGAAAAGAUUCUCUCUUCAAAAAGAUUACUGUUCCACCCUAGGUACCACAACCACUAUACACUCAAAAACAUUUUCUCAAAAAGAAAACCUUACACAAAAAAUUUAAGUAUAUUAGAAAGCAGACAGUAAGAGUAAUUUUUAAAUCAAAGAAACAGGACUUCCUUACAAUGUUAGGCUGAAAAGUAUAUAAGACCCCAAAGAAAUACUGUAAGGUAUUUUACAAAAGCUAUUUUAAGAUGAAGUGACUAAUUUUUUUUCGUCAAUAUUUUAAAAUCAGUAUUUACUCAUAACUUUUUAAAUGCUGGAGUUUGAUGUAAUAAGUGUUCUACAUUUUGCUUAUUUUGACCAUAAAA
rnacentral:lncRNA from 1 species